UGGGGAAUUUUGGACAAUGGGCGAAAGCCUGAUCCAGCAAUGCCGCGUGUGUGAAGAAGGCCUUCGGGUUGUAAAGCACUUUUGUCCGGAAAGAAAUCCUUGGCUCUAAUACAGUCGGGGGAUGACGGUACCGGAAGAAUAAGCACCGGCUAACUACGUGCCAGCAGCCGCGGUAAUACGUAGGGUGCAAGCGUUAAUCGGAAUUACUGGGCGUAAAGCGUCCGCAGGCGGUUUGCUAAGACCGAUGUGAAAUCCCCGGGCUCAACCUGGGAACUGCAUUGGUGACUGGCAGGCUAGAGUAUGGCAGAGGGGGGUAGAAUUCCACGUGUAGCAGUGAAAUGCGUAGAGAUGUGGAGGAAUACCGAUGGCGAAGGCAGCCCCCUGGGCCAAUACUGACGCUCAUGCACGAAAGCGUGGGGAGCAAACAGGAUUAGAUACCCUGGUAGUCCACGCCCUAAACGAUGUCAACUAGUUGUUGGGGAUUCAUUUCCUUAGUAACGUAGCUAACGCGUGAAGUUGACCGCCUGGGGAGUACGGUCGCAAGAUUAAAACUUAAAGGAAUUGACGGGGUCAUAGCUGUUUCCU
rnacentral:rRNA from 1 species